rnacentral:tRNA from 4 species
CGGGGAUUAGCGCAGUUGGUAGCGCGCACGGUUCGGAACCGUGAGGUCGUCAGUUCGAGUCUGGCAUCCCCGA